GUUGGGUAGGGGAGCGUUCUGUAAGCCGUUGAAGGUGACCUGUGAGGGUUGCUGGAGGUAUCAGAAGUGCGAAUGCUGACAUAAGUAACGAUAAUGCGGGUGAAAAACCCGCACGCCGGAAGACCAAGGGUUCCUGUCCAACGUUAAUCGGGGCAGGGUGAGUCGACCCCUAAGGCGAGGCUGAAAAGCGUAGUCGAUGGGAAACAGGUUAAUAUUCCUGUACUUGGUGUUACUGCGAAGGGGGGACGGAGAAGGCUAGGCUAGCCGGGCGACGGUUGUCCCGGUUUAAGCAUGUAGGCGGAGUGACCAGGUAAAUCCGGUUGCUUAUCAACGCUGAGGUGUGAUGACGAGCCACUACGGUGGUGAAGUAGUUGAUGCCAAGCUUCCAGGAAAAGCCUCUAAGCAUCAGGUAACAUUAAAUCGUACCCCAAACCGACACAGGUGGUCAGGUAGAGAAUACUCAGGCGCUUGAGAGAACUCGGGUGAAGGAACUAGGCAAAAUGGUGCCGUAACUUCGGGAGAAGGCACGCUGGCGCUAGGUGAAGAGACUUGCUCUCAGAGCUGAAGCCAGUCGCAGAUACCAGCUGGCUGCAACUGUUUAAUAAAAACACAGCACUGUGCAAACACGAAAGUGGACGUAUACGGUGUGACGCCUGCCCGGUGCUGGAAGGUUAAUUGAUGGGGUCAGCCGCAAGGCGAAGCUCUUGAUCGAAGCCCCAGUAAACGGCGGCCGUAACUAUAACGGUCCUAAGGUAGCGAAAUUCCUUGUCGGGUAAGUUCCGACCUGCACGAAUGGCGUAAUGAUGGCCAGGCUGUCUCCACCCGAGACUCAGUGAAAUUGAACUCGCUGUGAAGAUGCAGUGUACCCGCGGCAAGACGGAAAGACCCCGUGAACCUUUACUAUAGCUUGACACUGAACAUUGAGCCUUGAUGUGUAGGAUAGGUGGGAGGCAUUGAAGUGUGGACGCCAGUCUGCAUGGAGCCAACCUUGAAAUACCACCCUUUAAUGUUUGAUGUUCUAACUCGGCCCCGUAAUCCGGGGUGAGGACAGUGUCUGGUGGGUAGUUUGACUGGGGCGGUCUCCUCCCAAAGAGUAACGGAGGAGCACGAAGGUUAGCUAAUCACGGUCGGACAUCGUGAGGUUAGUGCAAAGGCAUAAGCUAGCUUGACUGCGAGAGUGACGGCUCGAGCAGGUACGAAAGUAGGUCUUAGUGAUCCGGUGGUUCUGAAUGGAAGGGCCAUCGCUCAACGGAUAAAAGGUACUCCGGGGAUAACAGGCUGAUACCGCCCAAGAGUUCAUAUCGACGGCGGUGUUUGGCACCUCGAUGUCGGCUCAUCACAUCCUGGGGCUGAAGUAGGUCCCAAGGGUAUGGCUGUUCGCCAUUUAAAGUGGUACGCGAGCUGGGUUUAGAACGUCGUGAGACAGUUCGGUCCCUAUCUGCCGUGGGCGUUGGAAGAUUGAGAGGGGCUGCUCCUAGUACGAGAGGACCGGAGUGGACGAAUCACUGGUGUUCGGGUUGUCAUGCCAAUGGCAUUGCCCGGUAGCUAAAUUCGGAAGAGAUAACCGCUGAAAGCAUCUAAGCGGGAAACUUGCCUCGAGAUGAGUCUUCCCUGGGGCUUUAAGCCCCCUGAAGGAACGUUAAAGACUAUGACGUUGAUAGGCUGGGUGUGUAAGUGCAGCGAUGCAUUGAGCUAACCAGUACUAAUGAUCCGUGAGGCUUAACCUUACAACACCAAAGGUGUUUUG
rnacentral:rRNA from 1 species